rnacentral:rRNA from 1 species
UACGUAGGGUGCGAGCGUGUCCGGAAUUAUUGGGCGUAAAGGGCUCGUAGGCGGUUUGUCGCGUCGGGAGUGAAAUCCACUGGCUUAACUGGUGGCUUGCUUUCGAUACGGGGCAGACUGGAGGUAUGCAGGGGAGACGGAAUUCCUGGUGUAGCGGUGAAAUGCGCAGAUAUCAGGAGGAACACCGGUGGCGAAGGCGGUUCUCUGGGCAUGUCCUGCUGAGGAGCGAAAGUGUGGGGGAGCGAACGG